GAAUAUUUACUACUCUUGAACUUGGUGCAUUUGCUCGAGAUCUUGUUUGUUGUCUUGUGUAAGUCCUCAUUUCCCCACCUCUAAAUGCCUUAGCCACAUCAACCCAUGUCAAAUUAUCAUCAACUUGUCUCUUUCUCAACCUUUUUUUUUUAAUUUCUCGACUUUUACUUGCUUGGGAGCACCUGGUGCCGCCUUGCCUGGGCCUCGCCUAGGUGCUUAGGUAGCAUCUAGUUGAAGGCACCUUGCCUGGA
rnacentral:misc_RNA from 1 species